rnacentral:tRNA from 1 species
GGGCGGAUAGUUCAGCCCGGUAGAACGCCCCGCUGGCAGCGGGGAGGCCGUGGGUUCAAAUCCCGCUCCGUCCA